rnacentral:snoRNA from 1 species
UGUAGCAAAAGGAUGAUGAUUCAAUUAGAUGUGUGAAAGAGAGAAUUCUCUCUAUAAUGAACUUGAUCUUUUUGAGUCAGUUUCACAGACUGACUUUGCUACC